rnacentral:rRNA from 1 species
CCGUCGUAUGAUGCGAUGGGGGGACGGAUCGCGGAAGGUUGUCUGACUGUUGGAAUAGUCAGUUUCUGUUUCAUAGAAGGUGCUUAGGCAAAUCCGGGCACGUAAUUCAAGGGAACGGGACGAAGGACUUAGGUCCUGUAGCAAUCGGAAGUGGUUCCAAGAAAAGCCUCUAAGCUUCAGUCAUACGAGACCGUACCGCAAACCGACACAGGUGGGCGAGAUGAGUAUUCUAAGGCGCUUG